rnacentral:tRNA from 2 species
GCGGGCGUGGCUCAGUGGUAGAGCGUCUGCUUCCCAAGCAGAAGGUCGCGGGUUCGAUUCCCGUCGCCCGCU